ensembl:lncRNA
UGUAGAGGUCUGGGGAAACACAUACAAAAGUAACACACAAACAAUAACUAUAAUACAGAAAAGGGCCAUUAGAUUAAUAAAUAAUGUAGGGUACAGGGACCAUACAAAUGCACUCUUUGUCAAAAUGCAAGCUAUUAAAUUCCAAGACUUGGUGAAGCUUAAAACAGCGCAAAUAAUGUAUAAAGUCAGAAAUAAAUUGCUUCCCAAAGAAAUCUGUAAAUUGUUCAUAGAAAGAGAAGGUGGGUAUAACUUAAGAGGGAAAUGGAAUUUAAAAAUACAAAGUGCUAGAACAACUUUAAGAACUAUGUCAAUCUCAAUUGCAGGAGUUAAAUUAUGGAACAGUCUAACAGAAGAAAUAAAAGACAGUCAAAACAUAAAACAGUUUAAAGUAAAAUAUAAAAACCUAAUUUUAAAUAAGUAUAAGAAUGAAGAAAACGGGGUUAACCCAGGAUGGUAAUGUUGCUGGUAAUGGUGUUGCGGUUCUUUUUUGGUUGUUUUUUUGUUUUUUUGUUUUGUUUUGGUUUGUUGUUUUUCCAUAACUUGUGUAUCUGCAAAUAUACACAUUCUGUAUUUUUCAUAUGAAAGAAACUAUACUGUGGUGGGGCUUGCUAAUUUCUUGUUUUUGAUUUAUGUAUGUUAUGUUUUGUUUUACUUCAUAUGUUUAUAUGUUUCAUAUGUUGUUUGUUUAAUUUAAGACAAAAAAAAAAUUAAAUGAAUGAGAGUUUAAAGUAAAAUAUAAAAACCUAAUUUUAAAUAAGUAUAAGAAUGAAGAAAAUGGGGUUAACCCAGGACGGUAAUGUUGCUGGUAAUGGUGUUGCGGUUCUUUUUUGGUUGUUUUUUUUGUUUUUUUGUUUUGUUUUGGUUUGUUGUUUUUCCAUAACUUGUGUAUCUGCAAAUAUACACAUUCUGUAUUUUUCAUAUGAAAGAAACUAUACUGUGGUGGGGCUUGCUAAUUUCUUGUUUUUGAUUUAUGUAUGUUAUGUUUUGUUUUACUUCAUAUGUUUAUAUGUUUCAUAUGUUGUUUGUUUAAUUUAAGACAAAAAAAAAUUAAAUGAAUGAGAGGUAAAACUUGAGGGGGUAGGGACAAAUAAGUAAAUACUUCAGCCUACUCCUUUUCAAACAAAUAAUGGAAUGAUAUUUUGUAAUGAUUGUGAAGGCACAUGUUUGAAAUGUUUGAAAUAAAAAUGAACUGAACUGAACUGAACUGAACAGAAUGAUUGCUGUCUUUACUAAAUGAUCUAUGUCUAUUGCAACUCUUGCUGUGGUUGCUACAGCACUGGUGGACAACCUGCUUGAUAACUUGGAGCUAGAAACCUGGAGUCAGUUGACCCAGGAGUUGGAUCACCAUUGAGUAUCUUCUACAAACCCCUUUAUGGUAUAGGUCACAGAGUGUCAGACCAUCACACAUAGCCAAUUUGGAAUCACCAGUUAACCUAACGUGCAUGUCUUUGGACUUGAGUACCUGGAGAGAACACAUGCAGGCACAAAGAGAACAUGCAAACUCCACCUAGACCAGAAUGUUCAAAACAGGAAACUUCUUGUUUCUGGAUUUG